GUCCAUAUCCAGUUUAACAAACCACCAGGUCUCACUACAACGUGUAUAAAGCUGCAUGUUCCUCUUUUUGUUCUAAGACUGCUUUCAGGUUAUAAACACUGUGAGCUAUUUUUUUUUUUUAAAAAGCAUCUUUUAAAAAAUAAAAAUAGAAGCAAAGCAGUUUGCCCAUUGUUUCCUGAUGGGAUUAAAGGUGCUCUGUGGGAUUAUAGCUGAUGUACGCAUCAUAGAAGCGUACUUCAUUGAAUAACUCACAUUAAUUCCAGAGGAUCAGUGGCAUAUUAACCUAGAGGGGAAAAAACAUUCGAAAUACCAAAUACAGACAAUUUGGAUGUAAGUGAUUCAGAAAUGUAAAGGCACAGCUGAGCAAGGGUGCAUUUGCAGCAUCCAUCCCUACCAACAUAAUGAAGCAUUUUGCAAAAACGUUUCCUUCGGUGCACUGUAUAUUAACGAUAAUGUUUUACAGCAAACUUGGCACGAAGCUGGUACCAACACAAAGGAAACUCUGGCAGUAGGACAAGCUUUUUGUUUUUUAAUAUAUUUUUUCUCCCAGAGGAAGGAAGUAUCAAACAGUGCAUGACAUGAGCAGUUUUUUAAAGGGUGUUACCAACGCAAUUUUGUUUAUCGUGCAACUAUUUGAUUUUUUUUAACUACACAGAGCUGUAUGCUCCAAACUGGUGAUAUGAAUAUUUUUCUUGUAUACCAUUCCUACUGAUGAAAAUUUACAUCUCAAACAACAAAUCAAAACCCCAGAUAAGAUUUUGUUUACUGGCUUCUCCUUAUUUAUCAUAAAUGUGCUGUAAACUUCCUGGAGGCUAAUUUAACUGCAGUAUAUAUUUGUGAGGCUGGAAGCUAGGCAGCGGCGAAGUCACGUCAGAUAAGGAGAAAUCUCCUCAGCUGUAAAACAGUGUGAUUUUGUUUUAUUGACAGUGCAACUAAACUUUAAACCACAUCCACUUUACCCAGGCAUACGACUUGAUGCUCUGACAGACUGCAGUCCGUUCCUCACGCUGAGCCCAGACAAGGCAGCUCCACGCUGCAGAUCGCUGUCUCCUAUGAUUUUGGGAGCCCACAUCAUACCGGCCCCCCCCGGCGCCCCAGCACCGCUGCCCCCAGCUGCCCGCAGCCCCAUAGGUGCGGGUGCCUCCCAGCCCGGUCCCGAUCCUCUUGCUGCUGCCCAGGGGCUCCCAGCCCGAGCACUGCCUCGCGACAGCAGGCAGCCAGCCCAGGUCACAAAUGGCCACCACGUUGGUAAUUCCAGCAGGAAAAAAAAACCCAGCUUUUUCCUCUGGCUACACACAGGAAAAAGAGAUGGCGCUUAUCCCAGGAGAUGCCGUAUUUCACAUGCAGUGCUUAACCUUAGAAACGUUAAAAGGACUUACCAUCCACUAUUCCUGUACCUUCAGCAGUGACUGACAACUCCAGUUCUCCAAGUUCAAGUGCUCUGCUCCAGCACUACUUUUCUUCUGAUUUCACUAGGAACGCAGAGUUACAACAAGCUAUUGGAUUUUAAAACACACCCCUGUUUAUUCAAAUGGGCAGGUCUGCUUAAAAUUGCAUGCCCUGAAGAAAUAGCUACUAGGGGAGAAAGGGGGGGGAGUGAGAGAAUUAAAAUACAAGUAUAUGUAAAAAAGAAAGUAAAUAUCACCUUGUAAAAAAAUUAUAAAAAUGUUAAUUUUUAGAGAAUAGUAAGCUGCAAAAAAUAAGCAGAUAGACAUACUGAAAUCUGCCAUGAAAACCUGUCAUUUCUUCGGUCCACAAAACAGGGCAUUAAAAUACCUCCAUAUUGCAAAUUACUCGUAGGCUUUUCAGCUAGGCAAGAGUUGUCGGGUGCCCAAGUUUUGUAUUAGGAGGCUCUGUUUUUUAUCUGUUUUACAAUGGAGUGCUACAAAGUAAAUUGUAGUGGGAAGAAAAAGGAGAACGUACCACAGAAAUUGCUUUGUGUCUAUUUUUUUUUUUUUUUUUUUUUUUUGCAGUGAAAUGUUAGUAAGGUGACAAAUUCACACACAAUGGAAGAAAAUAGAAAGGGUUGUCCAUUGCGAUGACACAUUCGUAGCACAGUUGCAAUUAUUUAGUAUACAUGAAGAGAUUUAACCCAAAUUGGUUGCAGAUAGUGAAUUCAUAGCCAUCUAUGAGCUGAAUGUUAGUCUUACCUAUUUUACAUAGCCAACUUCAGUUUUACAGUUCAAUUAAAUAUUUCUCUUUAACCUUUUAAAAAUAAAAUAUAUAACAAAUCAUGUGCAUCUUAGAUUCAUCUGUCUAGCUUGGCUGGCUGAGUCUCAGAGCGUAACAGAGUGUAUUGGCAUUUAAAUCCCUCUUCUUGAAAAAAAAAACCCUCUUAACGUGAACAAUAUUGACUCAUAAUUAUUAUCAUAAAAAAGAAUAACAAUGGUAUAAAUAACUCUAUUAAUGCAUUUAUCUGUACAGAUAAUACAGGCUUUAUAUUCUUUAUAUUAAUUGCAAGUAUAGAUUGCAGUUGAGAAAAAAUAACACCACAUUCAAUUCAGUACUUUAUAAAACUUGUAUUCCGUGAGCUGUCUUCCUGGGAAUCAUUUCUCCCCCACGUCAUGUUAUACUUACCAAAGUUGUCACACUUGUAUUCAUUACCAGGCUUCCUACAUUUUGAAAGGAUGUCUAAAUUUACAUAUUCGGCUUUAACGGUAUUCUGCUGUUUUUCAGCUUUAGUAAACAAAAUGUCACACAUACAUCUGAUUCUGUAUUUCCUUUGUCUAGAAAUUUUUAUUCCCAUACACAGAUACAGUUAAGCAUUCUGCUUAUAUAUAUAUAUAUAUGUAUGUAUAUACACACACACACACAUUUCAUAUUUGACAAAAAUGACUGAAUACACAUCAAGGAUUUUAGAAAAUGUGAAUGGACUGCUAUCCCUCUCUCAGAGACACCCUGUGGACAAUGCACUGUAUGAUGAAGCACGCACUGGGGAAGCCCAAGCGAACUCCACCAACAGCAGCUGCAGCAGUGCAGUUUUGGCUGUGGAGCUCACAGGCAGUUGGAGCUGCAAGGCCUCGGUUCAGAAAGGCACCUCUGAAUCGAACCAUUUAUGAUUGUCCGGAAAGAAGGGACCUUUACAUUAUAUUACCUUGGCCUUGGAUAUAAUGCAAAGUAUUUUUUAAAAAGCGUGUGUCAUCUGGGUACUGAAAGCAAAAAAUCUUUCUGUGUAAUUUCUCACUUUUUUUACUUUUUGAAAGAUUAAUCAGCACCCAUACUGGCUAAAUGUCUGCCACAAUUUAAUACUCAUUAUUUUAACAAAGCUUAUUGCAGCACUGCAAAGCUAAAACAUUCCUGAAAGCAAAAUAUUCCCUGUGGUUUUUCUAUGCUACCUACACAAGAAGUACAAUGUGAAUGAUAACGCUAGCAUCUCCAAAAAAAAAUGUAAAAGUAAUGAAAAACCACUUCCAGAUAUUCUUACUGAACUGCUUUUUAAGGUGUUUAAAAACACCUUCCUUUUCUGAAUACUGAAAGUUCCCAGGGGAUAUCGGUGAUGAAUCCAUGGAAGUUUCAACUCCCAAACUUAACCAUGUUUUGUCAGGGCAUUUUACUAGAGAUUUAGAUGGAUGAUAAAAGCAAUGAAAUCUUACAAGGUCAACUCUUAAGUUGACUCUCAGAGCAUAUCAUCAACACUACAUUGCGUGCAAAUGCCACACAAUGAGUUUUUCUUGGUUCACUAAAAAAAAAUUCAAGAGAACUGUAUAAUGUUUUUUCUAGUGCAGCGAGUAACUUAAUAAGAAAAUCAUGAAGGGGGGAAAAAAUAGACCGUGACACCUUUUGUCUCCUGGCAACAAGACAGCGAGACUCUGCCUGACUCAAUUAGAAAUACAUCUGCUUUUCAAAACUUUUUAAGCCAGACACUCAAAUUGGGAAGCCUUCCAUCAUUCAGCAAUAAGAAACAGAAACAAUCUUCUCUUCCCCCAACAAUUAUAUUAUUGACAUAUACUUCAGCUCCUCGGCGUGUGUGUGCACACACGUGUGCUGUGUGUAACAUGGCAGACCAUACAUAUCAAUGCAUGUGUAUGUACACUCCAGUGAGUGUGAAUACUGUGAGAGCAAGACUGUACAUUAAUAUUUGGUUUACAUAAAAUUGCAUAAUAUAAAUCACGUUAAUAACUCAGCCAGAAGAUUACUAAUAAAGGGUUACAUUUGAAUAACAGGAAAAUCUUGGAAGAUACUGUUUAGGACAUUUUUGUUCUAGUUAUACAAAUAAACAUGGCAUUUAGAGAACGCUAUAAAGUAUCUAACUAUACGAAAUAUUUGGUACUGCAUCAACAGCAAUUUUAUCCCUUCAGCAUUAUCGUAACGACUCAUCACUACAUUCAGAAAACAAGUACAACUAACUAACUGCUCUGUAACUACCUGAAUUUAAGACCUCAUUCCCUUAAUAGACCUGCAACAAUUAGGGAAACGGCCAUAAAGAUCGGGUAUUUCAUCUAAUAAAGCACAGCACACACAAACCAAAAUUCUGUUCCAGCACUCAGUUGGCAGCACUAGGAGUUUUCAGCACAGAAGGGAAAGCAAACAGAUACUUGAGAUUCAUUGUGGGGAUUCGUAAAACACAAUUUUGCUUUAAUACAGUACUUGCACACAUGCUCGGAUAGCAAAUGGCUAUGCCAUACGUACAGAGGAAGAUUUUUAUAGGAAUAUGGGACUUACAGAAUGAGCAUUCACCUUUUACUGGCCAGCAAGUGGCCAAAACCUUAAUCAGGCUGAGAAAUGUAAUCCACUGGAAAAGAUCAUUUUGUGCUGGAACUACUGUGUGAUUCUAGCUUUUGUCUUUGCGUUUCCCUAGCAGAGAACGCCAUUUUGAGGCUGUCACACAUUUCUGUGUCCAAAGUGGAUAACGCCUGCGGAAAGCAUAAGAAUGAUAUUCUCAUGCUGCAGAAAAAGGUAACAAAAAAGCAACACCAGUACUGAAGAACACAUGGUGAAGUGGAUGGACCUCGUAUUUUCAUUACUAUAUGUACUAAUGUUAGCUAAUGAACAUAAGUGAAGAAUAUACACAUGCUAAACUGACAUUAUCAUCUUUAUUGGAUAGUGGAUAUAGUAAGCAUAGCUUUCCCCUCUAUCUUCUAUUAAAAUGUAAAGCAAGUAGUCUUGGCGAAUUUCAAGUAACGAAUAAAGGAAACAGGAGUGUCUAUUUCAGUAUUGCUGUAUUCAGUGUCCCUUGCUACUGACAUACUAACUUUGUGCCCUUCUUGCUUGGCUCAGCUUUAAAUGCAAGCUUUCAUUAAAAUGGAAUGACAUUGGAGUUGCUUGGCCACUUUUUAAAAUGUUAUUUUAUUAAUAUUUUAAUAAUAAAUAAUUAUUUUGCUAUAUUACAGAAUACAUUUUUAAAUCUACAAGUAGACAACUGGAAAUGUUUGUUUAAACAGCAAAUAAAAUAAGAGAAAGAUGUUAACUUUUUAAUUGAAAUGUCUGGAAUGCCAAGUAAACAAAUUAAAAUGAAGAGAAAGAGAGACAGAAACAGAAAAGACUGCUGUCUCACAGAAAAGACAAUUACAGUACCCUGUAUUGAGUAAAACCAUAUUUCAGCGUGUAAUCUGAAGCAGCCUAAAAGGAGCUGUAAGAAACAUGCAUGUGGACACUGCAGCAAACGGUAUUAGCAGUGCUGUUCCCUAAGCCAUAAGGAAAACCCACUCUGAAAUCUGUUAUACCAAAAUGGUAGUCCUUCAGGGAUUUAUUGUGGCAUAAAAAGUGGGAAAAAUAAAAAUCAGUAUGCCCUGAAAUGCCCAAGAGCUGACACCUACUGUAAUGCACAUUUUUACCUUGAUGCUGUGUUUACAUCCAUUUAUGUUCACAGUCUUAUGGAGCCCCAAAGCUUAGUACCAUAGUAUUACUUAUUUCUGUGAUGGCACUGUUGUGAGUUUCCCUGUUCACAUACAGGCCACCUGUGCUCACUGCUUACCCUGCUGGGUUUUACACUGCUUGCCUGUCAUCAGCAAUUAUGAGCUUUUUUUCUUUUUUUUUUUCAUUGGAUAGAAGGAAGGGUGGUGGAAAAGAAGUAUUUUGACUGAAGAUAUGUUUGCAGUUCAAGUAAUUGCUUUAUGAUCUAUCAUUUCAUAGAUUUUAGUGCUGAGCAAAGAAAAGCAUGUAGAAAUGAAAAAUAAUAAACAUCUUUCAGUGAAAUGUGAUGGUUUUCUAUUGUGAAUUUUCCAAAUAAUUUAUCUCAGAUAUAACGUUUAUGAAUGUUCAGUGGUCACAACAAAUAAAAACGAGAUGCAUCACAUUGUGCCACCAGUUAUUUCUAAAGCCAAACAAAAACCCCACCCAACAAACCAGUUUGUUUCUUUUUAACAUAGAAUUAAUUAUAAAUGAGAAAUUCCCAGCUCAGUCUGGCUUUGUACCCCUCAAUUAUCAUAUCUGGCUUCACAUUUGCUAUAUGUGUAUAUUUAUGUCAUGCAGUGCUGGUAGAAUGUGCUGAAAAAGGUGACGAACACAAUCUGAUGGGACACAGCAUCACGUUUCCUUACAAGCUGAAUUUCAGCGCUUGUCAACUGUAAUACUCUGAGACGCAGCUAUGACCUUGGAGGCCCAAGUUCAAUGCUGCGAUUGCCACAGCGUUUUUCUUUUAGAAGAGAAAAAUCCCGCCAUUUUCUCUCACAUAUUGCUUCUUCCCUUGGAAAAGUCUAUUAAGAGCUGGGGGGGAAUUAAAAAAAAAAAAAAAAAAGAGGAAAAAAAAAAGAAAAACGAGUAAAGACAGCACGCAGCACGAUCUAGUUCUCUGUGGUGGCAGGCCCAAGCUGCGCGCUCUCCUCAGUGAGGUCCGGGCGCGGCGGCCACCAGCAAGCAGGGAGCUGAGGCCUUCACUCCUCCGGUAUGCUGCCAUUCUCCGCCAGCACGCGCCGAAAUUAGUUCUCCAUUUUGUGGUGGCCCUUGGAGAGCAAUUCCCAUUGAGCGGGGAACAAAGGCCGUGACCCCGGGGUCAGAGUGUAAUGCAGGAAGCAUGACCUCCCCUUUGUUCACAACAGCACUGUUUACUCUGCCUAAGUAAAGAUCACCAAUACAUUAACUAAAGAGGAUUAAAAAGGUCAUAUCCCCAGGGAUGGAGCUCAUGCAAGUGGCAACUCUCUUCAGUCACUAAAUCAUUCCACUUUUUCUUUUUUUUUCUUCCACUUCUUCAAACAUAGAGACACCUUCAGCCGCCAAGGCUCAAUGGCAUAUUAUUUCCUGAGCAAAAAUACAUACAAAAUCCAUGUAGUCUUCCUCCCAAAACCAGGCUAAUUGCUGCACAGUUAUUGAACUGUUUUGAAGUUAUCAAAACAUUUCAAGUGAAAACUACCACCUCAGAAUGCUUUGUUUUCAACAUUUCUGGGAAAGUUCUAAGCUGAUUUAUAAUAUUGUUUGGGUCUUAAAACAGUUUAAAAACUGUAAUAUUUUGUAGAUAUCAUAAAUGUAAAUCUUAAAAUAUUUCACAGUAUACAAAUAUGCAGGAAAAAUACCUGAUGCUGGAGAACAUAAUGGCCAGCUCCAGGAUUUUCACUGGUAAAAAAGAAACAGAGGAAAAUAAAGGAAAAAUAUGCUGCCUAUUAGAAAUGAUGCAUGCCACUAUCUGGGCUUAAUCAGGUUAAAUAAGCACUUACUUUUGCUGUUAAGCUUUCUGUUAGCAACUCGUUUACAGUAUCCUGGGACAAUAUUAUUAAUAUGAGAUUUAUCAACAGAAGCAAGGCUUCAUGUGUAGGCUUCCUUAUCUGUGGUGAUACUGCUUACCAGGAUCUAAGUGUUAACACCAGUUACUCAGCCAGGAUGGGAGGAAAAGAGCAUGUGAAUUGAGUGGCUUACACUAAAAUAUCUUCCCCUCUACCAUCAGGCAGGUGCACUUCUGAAGAAGCUAAGCAUUGCUAGGGGCUCCAGAAGAGAAUAUGAUUAAGGCCAGGCAGGGGUGCCAUGCUGACCAAAGUCUUUGGAGCAGGGAGCUUAGUACCACAGACAGACUCCUCAUGGGCUAGAUGCAGUUGAAAGCGAGCACUAGAUUACCCAUGUCAGCAGACUUUCUAAGGAGGCCCAGGAGUGCCAGGCUCCAAAACAAGGUCCUAAACCAGCAGGGUACAGGAGUUAUCUAGAUUAACUAUUUGAGAUAGGAGGAAGGGUGUCUUCCAGUUCUUAGAUAAUUUGUGCAAAUUAACAUAUUUUGGAUCCAUAAUAAUACAUGUAGCUUUCUAGUGUCUAGCAACAGGAAUUAACACUUGAAGUGUCUCAUUCCAGAUGAAGCAAUCUGGGGGUCUCAUUAUACCCAGACAGCAUGCCCCUUCCUCUGUCUUCUGCUUGCCAUGCAUCCUCAAGCAACAUGCAGGAUGCGAAAGGUUCCUCCUCAGGACACCUGAGAAGUGACUUUCCUUGUUUGCAAGCUUCUUCAUAGCAGGAACCCGUGAAUUUCAAUAUGUUUUAUAAGGAUCUGAAGAGAGAAAUGAAAUCAAGAAUCCAAAAUAAAUAACAUUAUAUUUGCUUUACUGUAUUUUCUGUUUGCAAAAAUAAUUGCUUCCUUCGCUCACCCUCGCUGUUCCUUGUUCCUGCUGUUUCUGGUCUUUCCUUACCCCAGUAGGAAGAGAGGGAAAGAGACUAUCAUCAGGAAAACUGAAAGGAAGAUGCCUCUGUAGCAUGCACAUGCCGCCAGGAAGCAUGAGGUUUAGCCCAGAGGGCUCACAAAUAAAAGGAACUUCCAGACUACGUGUUGGCAUCAAGAUGAGUGACAUGCCCACUGCAGGUAGGUGAAUGACUGGCACUCAGGACAACUCCCUGCAUUUCUCACCUCUCCACUUCUUUGUCUAGAAUGUAUGAAACUAAUCACACAGUUUCCAGUGACUGCUAUUCCUCAAAAUCUAGAAGAAAAAUAUUGGGCUUUUUAAUGCACCAAGGGUCAAAGAAAGAACACUGGAGUUGGAAAGUACUGACAGACAACUAAGUUUAAAAAAGUCAAUGUCCUUAGCAAAACAAGCUCUUAGGGAAAAAAAAAAAAAAAUCUACAACAGGUAUUUAAAAUAACCUACUGGGAAAUCCAGUAACACAUUGUCUCGUUGCAUGUUUAUCAGAUCUUCCCAUUGACUUAAAUGGGAACACUCUGCUUUUAUGCAUGAAAGAUUAUGCAGGCAUAGAGUAUCGGUUCAAAAUAAAGGGAAACAAUCUCUAAACACAGAAGAAGUACGUGGACAAGGGCAAACUGGGUACUGAGAAAAACUUUACAUAUGUCAAGGCAAAGAGGUACCUUUUUUCAAAAACAAAAAGCACUGAACUGAAAUUAAUAGAACUAAGAAUGUACUUACAAAGUAGUAUUUAAAACUGGGAUUAGAAGCAUAAGGACUGAACCAAGGAAUCAAAGACAUAAGACAAUUUAUUGACAUACAGUAAAAGCAAGAAGACUGCACAACAGUUGUCUGGUAGGUUUGAAAUAGUAUUGGGGGAAAAAAAGGAGUGAAUAAAGAGGAAGAAAAACUGCAACAAAGAUAAUGGCUGAUUAUGACCUUGAGGUCUUUAGUCAUGCAAAAGAGUGAACUCAACUUUUCAUAUAUAUGGCCACGUUAACAUUUCUUGAUAGCUGGGUUCCUGAUGAGAGCUAUAUUAAGAAAAAAACAAACAAAAAUCUCUACAACCACUAACCCUCCUGAAGAAAUGCAAGACUAUACACCUCCUUCAGCCUGCAUGUCCUUCAUUCUCCAGUUCUUUUUCUUUCACUCCAGCCAAUGUAUGUAAAUCCAAAAUGGGAAGUAAAACCACCCUACAAGAAGUUAUGGAAUAAGACGUUUCUUCUCUUGGAACAGGAAAACAGCUGGAGGAAAUGUCACUCUGUGACACAAAGUUCUUGCACAGAUCAAUUUUUUUCUGGGUGGAACAAUACUGACCACUCCUCUCAAUGUCCAGAAAUCCAAACAGACUGAGAGGCAGCCUUUAUCUUAAAAAGAACAACUUCUUUUUAGGCCUAGAGCAGGUGGAAACCAUUGAAAAAGGUUUGUACUAACAAAGUGAUUAAAUUGUAUUUUCUGAACCCGGCAGAUUACAUCUCGUUAAUCUCUUCUUCUGCAAGUAAAGGGCAAGAGAGCAGCAGAUAAGAAAACAGAAAGUGCAGAAAUAACUGGAGAAACUAAAAGACAAGACAGGCUGCUCAAGAUUAAAAUCAGCGUUUCCAACCAAAAGAAAAUGCAUUCUUCUAUCUGGAAUGAAAGAGUGGUACUCCUUAAAUAGCCACAGAAAUAGUCCACAUUACAUGCCAAUGAAUUCUAGCAUUUAAUAAAAUGGUUGGAAGGCUACUUGAAAAUAUGUUAACCUGAAUGUCUAAGAAGAGGUUACAGAAUGGGGAGAAAAACAAUACAGCUAACGUAAUGAAAAAUACAUCUUUUUAUAUUGGAGUGGAUCUGCAGGUGAAAUUAUUAUUUACUUGGCCAUUCAAAAGGGCUUUGAUAGUGACUCAAAGAUCAUAAAGAAAACAGAGCAAUUGUGACCAAAAUUUAGGCUCAUGAUUAAAAAUGAGCUAAGUAGCCCAAAGCAAAAUGUAGGGAUAAAAAAGGCACUUAAGAAGAAAAAGAUUAACAGUAAUUGUAUGCAGAAGUUACACUUGCAUCAGCUUUUAACAUUAUUUAGUAGUCUGGGAAAAAUUAAUUGUAAAACAAAGUGGCAAAAUUGACACUUGGAGUGUAUUUGGAUUACUGAAGAAAUUUAACAAAGUUAAACGAGUAUGAAACAACAUGAUAAAUACUUAUUGGUAAUUAUUAAGUAAGUUGCAUAGCAACAUUCUCAGCAAAGGAAAAAGAUCGGGGUGCCAUCACAACAAUUCAACAGUACUGUCAAAAAAAAAGACAAUUUUAACAGCACAUGCAAAAAAGCACAGAAACUAUGCUUCCAGUGGGUACCUGACUGGGAAAUACCUUCAAGAAGAAUGCUGUCUACAGUUCUUUUUACCUUACCUCAUUAAAACCACAGAACAUGAGUGUAAGGGCAGGUGACCAAAACGAUCUGGCUCUCGAGACGAUUGCCAUGUAACAUGACAAAGUGAUGAUGUUAUCAAGCACAUGAGCAACAGGGGACACGACAGAGAUGCACACUUUGAAAGUCAGAACUGUACUUUUUUACGUAUAGUGUUCAACAGGAGAGCACGCAGUAAAAUUAAAUGAGCAGCAUUAAAACUCUGGAAAUAUAUUACCUUACUAAGUGUAGGUAAGCAUGUGAAAAUCAGUGCCACAGUUCUUCAUUAAGGGACAUCAGUGAGACUUUGAAAGAAUACUGUUCUAUGCACAGCCUAUAGAAAUGUAACAUUAAAUAGGAUCGUUUGCUGGAAAUACCCUUGCACAAACCUGUAACAAAGCCAUUGGCCAAGGUAUCUGGCUGGACUAUUUUCUGACAAGGACAGGGUAUUCCAGAAGGAUCAAAUGCUGGUUGUUUUUGCCCUGCAUUUUCUUACCAACCAACCCUUUGUAAGAACGGUCUGGGUAGACUUAGCAUUAGACUGCAGAUCUAAUCCAGUGCAGUAAUUUCUACAUUUAAAUGUUUGCUAUGGUCAAAAACAAUGAUCCCCAAAACCUCUUCCCACCCCUACUACAAUGUGGUAAGAAUGAAAUAAUUUAUCCUCCAAGUUAGCUGCUGUGCCUGAUGCAAUGCUACCAAUGCAUUUCUCAAACUUCACAAAAAUACUUGGAAGCACAUAUUUUUUGCUACCUGCUUUUCCUCUCACCUUAAAUAAUUAGGAAGAACUUACAAGAUUCUGCUUCACAAUACAAAUGCGUUUCCUUAUUUUAUUAUCUUUUUUCCCCAUCCACACAUCGUUAUUUGUAAAACUCAUUUAAUAAUUCUGAGAGAUUCCAAGAUGUGUGUCAGAUGCUGGGAUAUUGCCACUUGUGUGGUGGUUUGCUACACUUACCCUUCAGUCUUGUGGCUAACAAUUCACCCAAAAUGUGAUAAUACCUCACCACAACCCACACGCUGCUGCUCUUCAAAGGAGAACAAGGAUACAUAAUUAUGAGAUGAUGAGCUCAAAUGUAAGACAGGAGAUGAGGGAACAGAUUCUGUAACCACACCUAUGAGUGGUUAAACUACUGAAGAAGUUUCUGCAGCUCCACUUUCACUCACAGCAUCAACAAAAGCCACGCAUUUUCAAAAUACUUAAAUAACAUUUGCUACAGGGGAGGAAUAAACACAGUGAUAAUACGUUGUCCCUGCAGAAGAAAAGAGGUUUAACAUCUAUUAAGAAUGUAAAUAAGUAUUAUCAACAAAUAGACCUUAUAGUCAGUGUAAGCAAGAUAUGCACACUUUUACUAGAAACACUGUCAAGAUCUCACUCCUCAAGAAUUUUUACUUUAAAAUAUUCUAAGUCUCAUUCCAACCUUUUGUGAUCAUGUAGUUUCACUCAUAACAGAAGGAACUGCAGAAGAAAAUAUCUAAGUGUAUCCAUGUCGAUGCAGGGGCUAACAGUGAAGCAUUCUGCACAGAAAUUAAGAACUGGUUACAGAUAGACUUUAGAGUCUACAAGAUCAGUCCCGUGGUGGAUAUUCUCAAUAAAGAAAACAUCAAAGCACUAUCCUUACUAGACUAAAAAUGUUGCAACUAGUUUUUGUGGGGUUUGUCAUGAUUAGUGAGUCAAGAAAUCUGGGGCAAAGCAAGACGCAAUUAAAGAUGCCAUCAAACUCAACAACUGUGAGAACUGACCAUCCUUUCAAAAUAUGCAUUAAUAUGAGAUUAAUGAGUAAGGAUUUAAAAAUAACAGGAUUACAUGCCUACUUGAUUUCUCAUUAUUAAAAAAUAAAAAUAAAAAAUCUCUUUUACCUAGGAGAAGUCUUCCUUCUGUGGGUUGAAGGAUCACAACCCCAAAGCCAGUCCCUGCAUGCACAGCCAACUUCUCUAAGCAGCAGCCACACCCUCCUCUUCCUCAUUUUUUUCCACUGACCAUGAAAUGCGUUCUAAGCCAGGCACUGAAAAAAAAAAGAAAAAAUAGAAAAAAAGAUCAUAAGUACAUUUUUAAUGGACACCAGAUACCACAUGGCUGAUUUAAUUAAGCAGAUUAGAAACAAAUAAGUAUAUUUAUACAAAUAUAUUUUGAUUUUCUGUUUCAUUUCAAACAAAUUUGGUAGGCCUGAUUUGGCUCUAUUCAAAUCACAAGAAACAUCAUUAAGAACAUUCUGUGCUGACAGUAGAAUCAAGCCCUCUUCUCUUUUUAGAAUGUCAUAUUUUACCUAUUCCACUGCUACUGUAAAAACAACAAAUGAGAGGGUUUUCAGAAUAUCCCGGAAUAAGCCUACGGACUUCGUAAUAGAAACUAAAACAGGACAAGCUUUGACAGAUGUUCCAGAGGUACUCUCUUCAAUGAAUUGGAUUACUGUAUCUUCAACAGAAUAAUACUGCAUUAUCACUCAACAUGUACUUACUGUUGUUAUAUUUUACACAAUUUACAUCAUCAAUAAUUUCACAGUACAUAGAACAUUAUAGAAAUCGACUGUUGUUAUAAACAGUUUUGCACACUGUAUCACCUGCUGACUUUAAUUCAUUAUUUAAACGACACUAAUUACACUACAUUUCAUAUUCUAUGGCUAAAUAGAAUAUUGAAUAGAAAUACAGAGUGAUAAGAACACUUUUUUCCAGUACCUCAAAAAAACAAACAAAAAACAACCCAGAACAACAGCCACCACUCUCCCCCUGAAAAGAAAAGUAAGGAAAAAGAAAAGAAAAGGAAAAAGAAACCCAGCAACACCCUUCUUUACAAGUUACUAGUUAUGGGAUUCAACAACAAAGCAAAAAUACAUACGUAGGGGUAAGCAACUUAAUCUCAAUUUUUGCAACAACUGCACAAAGGUACUACUGUUCAGCUCUCAUAAGGGCAGGGAAAUUACCAUUAAAGUUUUUGUUUGUUUUGUUUUUAAUUUAGAGCUAAAUAAUGUGACAGAAAUCUGCAGCUCAAUGCUAUUAUGUUUCUUGAAAGAACAAAUUGAUAUUAAAAUAAAAAUGUUAAGGUUAUAUUAAAUGAAUGCCUGAGGACGACAACAUUUUUGGUAUUACAGUUAUUAUAUAAUAGCAAGUCCAAAAUAAUUUAUAAUCCCACCACUUAACUUCUUAUUUAUUCAUUUAUGACUCCAUCAUCACAGAAGAAUACUCUUACGAACAUACUGUGCACUUUCAGUAUUAGAAGGGCUGUUCACAAAGGCAUUUUGCAUGCUCCUACAUCCUAAUAGGCUGCCAAUAUACA
ensembl:lncRNA